GUGGCUCAGCAGGUAAGAGCACUGGCUGCUCUCCCAGAGGACCUGGGUUUGAUUCCCAGC
rnacentral:tRNA from 1 species